rnacentral:rRNA from 1 species
GGCUCAGAACGAACGCGGGCGGCAUGCCUAACACAUGCAAGUCGAACGCGUGUAGCAAUACACGAGUGGCGGACGGAUGAGUAACGCGUGGGAACCUGCCCAAUGGUAGGGAAUAACUGCGGGAAACUGCAGCUAAUACCCUAUGCUCCCUACGGGGGAAAGAUUUAUCGCCAUUGGAGGGGCCCGCGUCGGAUUAGCUAGUUGGCGGGGUAAUGGCCCACCAAGGCUACGAUCCGUAGCUGGUCUGAGAGGAUGAUCAGCCACACUGGGACUGAGAUACGGCCCAGACUCCUACGGGAGGCAGCAGUGGGGAAUAUUGGACAAUGGGGGAAACCCUGAUCCAGCAAUGCCGCGUGAGUGAAGAAGGCCUUAGGGUUGUAAAGCUCUUUCGGCGGGGACGAUGGUGACGGUACCCGCAGAAGAAGCCCCGGCUAACUUCGUGCCAGCAGCCGCGGUAAUACGAAGGGGGCUAGCGUUGUUCGGAAUCACUGGGCGUAAAGGGCGCGUAGGCGGCGCGACAAGUCAGGCGUGAAAGCCCCGGGCUCAACCCGGGAAUUGCGCUUGAUACUGUCGUGCUUGAGGCCGGGAGAGGAUGGCGGAAUUCCCAGUGUAGAGGUGAAAUUCGUAGAUAUUGGGAAGAACACCGGUGGCGAAGGCGGCCAUCUGGACCGGUUCUGACGCUGAGGCGCGAAAGCGUGGGGAGCAAACAGGAUUAGAUACCCUGGUAGUCCACGCCGUAAACGAUGAGUGCUAGACGUCGGGGGGUUCACCCUCCGGUGUCGCAGCUAACGCUUUAAGCACUCC